CAUGGUCCCUGUUCUCUGCCCCAGA
rnacentral:piRNA from 1 species